CUUGCGGUGAAGGAUCCUGAAUAUGAGCAGUGGCAGAUGUUUAAGGAGAAGGUUCGUUAGAGCCGACAUUUAUCCCGAUCAGACAGAGGAAUCACAGGGAGCAAACAACAGUCUGUGGUUAAAAGAGUUCAAGAAUUUUGUUGAGAAAUCUGUCCGCGACCAAGGCAGUUCAUACUGGAUUGGAAAAUGCAACUAUGGGAGAGUGGCCUCGAUUAUCGUGUUCCAAAUGAAGGCUGGAGUCUUCGAAUGCAUUGAAUAUGGAUGGUACCCUCACUUUGAACAUUGCAGUGAGGAUAAGCGUUACUUCAUCUGCGAGAAGUCGGCGCUUCUGUGCUCAGAUCUUUCUGAAAAGAUCCAGGAUCUCUGUCAACAGUCAAUAGGGUCGACUUAAACAAGUGACAAAACCGUCUUUAUCUCACCGACUCACAUUACAUCAUCAGCUCUGCCCCUCACCCUUGCCUUAUUAUCUUUCCCUCUAUCGCAAUCUUACCCACCCUCUCGCCCACUCUUCACCUUCGUUCCUCUAAACACUCUCUCUCAUCCCUCUCCACUCCCGCCUCUUCCAUUUCAUCCGCAUUUUCUCCCUCCCGCAUCCCGCCUCCCUUUCCCCGAACUCUUCCUCUUCUGUCCCUGUCUCUCUCUCGAUUCUCUAUUCCCCCUCUACACACUCUCCCAAUCCCUCUCUUUCCCUUUUAUCGAACUCAACUCGCUCUCCCGCUUCUGUCUUCAGCUACUCUCACCUCAAUCAUGCGCGUCAAUGUUCUCGACACCCCAGUCCUGGGGAAUAAGAGUGCAUGUAUUCGCCUUAUCCGUGCCCCUUGUAGUUUUGUACAGCUCUACAUGGUCACAAAAUAAAGCCUGAAAAUUUCCGACUGCACCAUAACUCAGCUCCUUCGGAAUUCUCCCUCUGUAAUCUUUCCAGUUCGUUGAGAUUUUUCACAGAGCAAGGCAAGCAGAACUAAACUCCAUACUCCAUGUGCGGCCCGACCGACGUCAUUUGCAACUGCAACGUGACCUCCGACUCCCGUACUCAGUGCCCUGACUGAUGAAGGCCAGCGUGUCAAAUAUCCUGUCUACCAGUAUCGCAUCUUCUCUACCGGAUUCACGGUCUGUUCUAUUAUCUGUGACGUAGACCACCUGAGAUUUGUUCUUUUGAAGGAUCAGUGGGGCGCUAAUAUGUAAAAUUACCGUCAAAUGCAACAAGCUAAUAAAUGCCGCAAAAAAUGUGGAGGUGGUGCUCAUACGUUCAAGAAAAUGCUAGCGGAAGGGAAGAAGGUGUUUCUGGUUCAUUGAGAUUUCGGCCUCCUGUUUCUCGUCAACCCUCCUUCCCAGACGACCAUCCUUGUCACCGUCCGCCACGACUUCCUCUGCAGCCCUCUCCGUUUCCGCCACCGCAUUCUUCUUCCACACUUCUUGACUCUAGCAACCCUCCGUUCACUGCGCUGCGUGCCGUCUUCGUCAUCUCCUCCUUCUCCAACACCUCUCCAAGUCUCUCUGAUCUGCUUGAUCCCCUGCAGGUCCACCCCGCUUCCAUUAACCGUCUUCCUCCU